CAAUUUUUUGCAGUUUACAAUAAAAAUAAGAAACUAAUGGCAAUGUUUUUUAUUUUAAAAUAAUAAUACAUACAAAAUUUCUGUUCUCUUAUUUAUUUAUUUUUACGUAUUAUCGAUUUUCGUCAAAAUUUUAUCUUAAAAUGACUAUAAAAAAAAAAAACCCAAGUACUACGUAACGCUUAAUCUUUUUCUUUUUAACCACUAAGUAUAAUUUAUAAACAAAGUUGGAGUGUUCAUAUCUUACCAUAAAUUCUCGUUGUAGAUACAAUAAUAAAAUACAGUGGUGCAUUAUAAAGAACUAAGACUAUAGAAAAAUUGGUUUAAUUCAAAAUUUCAUUUUUUGAAUUACUACACUACCGUUUUGGUUUUAGUUUUGUUAGUGUGAUAUGCCAGGGUAAAGCCACCGCAACAUCUGGGAUAGUAGGCCGAAUUUGUUUUCCUCUGUCCUUUAACAACUUUACUACCACAAAUCUGGUUUUAAUUAAAAAAAUACAAUUGAUUUUCUGUAGCAUUUUGGAUUUAUUGGUGCACUGUGGUCUAUUAUAUUCUGAGCGGAGCGAAGAUCUUAUUUGUUUUCCUUUUUUUAUCUUCUGCAAACUUUUUUACAAAAAAACUUCCUCCAUUCCAAAAAUUCCGAGAAAUUUUUUAAAAAUAUUUUUGCUCUAUUAUAAUAGGCAUUUAAAAUUUUCCAUUUUUUUAGUUUAAUAUGGGUAAAACUGUUAUGGAAGAACAGAAAUGCUUAAAAAUUUAAUACAAGGUUCACUACAUGUUAUAUAUACUCAGUGUUAAAAAAAAAGUUGAGUGUGAUGUAUAAUGUAGCUAUAUUUUUUAUAAGUAUUUUAAGA